rnacentral:misc_RNA from 1 species
GGAAGUAAAAGUCGUAACAAGGUCUCCGUAGGUGAACCUGCGGAGGGAUCAUUACAGAGUUCAUGCCCUCCGGGUAGAUCUCCCACCCACUGCUAUCACUACUCUCGUUGCUUUGGCGGGCCGCUGGGCCCUGCCCGGCCGCCGGCCCCGGCUGGCGCGUGCCCGCCAGAGACCUCACAGACUCUGAAUGUUAGUGUCGUCCGAGUAACUAUACAAUCGUUAAAACUUUCAACAACGGAUCUCUUGGUUCUG